AAACCAUGCUGAGGACAUUUCCUUAACAUAUUUUUGAAACGAUUCCAUGCCUCUUCAAAUGAUUCGGACUCGUCUUGGUUGAAUAUAGAGAUGUCAUGCCGCAUUUU
rnacentral:snoRNA from 1 species